rnacentral:rRNA from 1 species
UACGUAGGGGGCAAGCGUUGUCCGGAUUUACUGGGCGUAAAGAGCGUGUAGGCGGCCACGCAGGUCCGUUGUGAAAACUGGAGGCUCAACCUCCAGCUGUCGACGGAAACCGUAUGGCUAGAGUCCGGAAGAGGAGAGUGGAAUUCCUGGUGUAGCGGUGAAAUGCGCAGAUAUCAGGAAGAACACCAAUGGCGAAGGCAGCUCUCUAGGACGGUACUGACGCUGAGACGCGAAAGCGUGGGGAGCGAACAGG